rnacentral:rRNA from 1 species
AGAGUUUGAUCCUGGCUCAGGAUUAACGCUGGCGGUACGUCUAAUACAUGCAAGUCGAACGGAGCACUUGUGCUCAGUGGCGAACGGGUGAGUAACACGUAGGUAACCUGCCCUUAAGACGAGGAUAACCAUUGGAAACGAUGGCUAAUACUGGAUUGAAAGCAGACUCGGCAUCGAGACUGUUUAAAAGAUGCGAUUCGCAUCGCUUAAGGAGGGGCCUGCGGCGCAUUAGUUAGUUGGUAGGGUAAUGGCCUACCAAGACAAUGAUGCGUAGCUGGACUGAGAGGUUGAACAGCCACACUGGGACUGAGAACGGCCCAGACUCCUACGGGAGGCAGCAGUAGAGAAUCUUCGGCAAUGGGGGGAACCCUGACCGAGCGAUACCGCGUGAUUGAAGAAAUACUUCGGUAUGUAAAAAUCUUUUACAAAGGAUGAAUGACCUUAGGAGGAAAUGCCUAAGGAGUGACAGUACUUUAGGAAUAAGCCCCGGCUAACUAUGUGCCAGCAGCCGCGGUAAUACAUAGGGGGCAAGCGUUAUCCGGAAUUAUUGGGCGUAAAGGGUGCGUAGGCGGCUAGUUAAGUUCAUGGUCUAAAUUUAAGGCUCAACCUUAAAAUGCUUUGAAAACUGGCUAGCUUGAGAGAGGUAGAGGCAAGUGGAAUUCCAUGUGUAGCGGUAAAAUGCGUAAAUAUAUGGAGGAACACCAGUGGCGAAGGCGGCUUGCUGGGCCUUAUCUGACGCUGAUGCACGAAAGCGUGGGGAGGAGACAGGAUUAGAUACCCUGGUAGUCCACGCCGUCUAUUAUGGGUACUAAGUGUCGGAAGAAUCCGGUGCUGCAGUUAACGCAUUAAGUACUCCGCCUGAGUAGUACGUGCGCAAGCAUAAAACUCAAAGGAAUUGGCGGGACCUCGCACAAGCGGUGGAUCAUGUUGUUUAAUUCGACGAUACGCGAAGAACCUUACCAGGCCUUGACAUACCGAGCAAAGCUAUGGAAACAUAGUGGAGGUUAACUGGGAUACAGGUGGUGCAUGGUUGUCGUCAGCUCGUGUCGUGAGAUGUUGGGUUAAGUCCCGCAACGAGCGCAACUCUUAUCGCUAUUUGCCAUCAUUAAGUUGGGGACUAUAACGAGACUGCCAGCGACAAACUGGAGGAAGGUGGGAAUGACGUCAAAUCAUCAUGCCCCCUAUGGUCUGGGCUACAAACGUGAUACAAUGGUUGGUACAAAGGGAGGCAAAGUCGUGAGACCAAGCGAACCUCAUAAAACCAAUCUCAGUUCGGAUUGAAGUCUGCAACUCGACUUCAUGAAGUCGGAAUCGCUAGUAAUCGUAGAUCAGAACGCU